rnacentral:rRNA from 1 species
CCCGCUACAGAAACGUUAAAGGAAGUUGACGGGGGCCCGCACAAGCGGAGGAACAUGUGGUUUAAUUCGAUGAUACGCGAGGAACCUUACCCGGGCUUGAAAUGCAUCUGACCGGCCUUGAAAGAGGCACUCCCUUCGGGGCAGAUGUGUAGGUGCUGCAUGGUUGUCGUCAGCUCGUGCCGUGAGGUGUCGGCUUAAGUGCCAUAACGAGCGCAACCCUCAUCAUUAGUUACCAUCAGGUAAGGCUGGGGACUCUAAUGAGACUGCCAUCGUAAGAUGUGAGGAAGGUGGGGAUGACGUCAAAUCAGCACGGCCCUUACGUCCGGGGCGACACACGUGUUACAAUGGGUGGUACAAAGGGCAGCUACCUGGCGACAGGAUGCUAAUCUCGAAAACCGCUCUCAGUUCGGAUCGGAGUCUGCAACUCGACUCCGUGAAGCUGGAUUCGCUAGUAAUCGCGCAUCAGCCACGGCGCGGUGAAUACGUUCCCGGGCCUU